rnacentral:lncRNA from 1 species
GAGAUGCUUGUCCAAAAAUCAGAUUAUUCAUGUGUUGAACAUAUAAUCUGAUUUAUGUAUGGUGAGAUCUUUUGAGGAAGGAUUCCUAAAGAGGUCUUAGUGGAGGUCAUAAAGGUAUACAAGUAAUGGUGCAACCAGUUCUUGCGAAGGACAAUCGACAGUGUACUAUGAAAGAAGGCUGCAGUACCAUGAUGAAUUAGGAAGGGCC